UUAUGGCCACACCAUGUUGAAAUACUAGUUCCUCUCUGAUCAUCAAAGUUAAGCAUUGUUGGGCCUGGUCUGAACCUGGACAGGGGACCACAUGGCAAUACCAGGUGCUGUAAG